GACGAACGCUGGCGGCGUGCUUAACACAUGCAAGUCGAACGGAAAGGCCCUGCCUUUGUGGGGUGCUCGAGUGGCGAACGGGUGAGUAACACGUGAGUAACCUGCCCUUGACUUUGGGAUAACUUCAGGAAACUGCGGCUAAUACCGGAUAGGAGCUCCUGCUGCAUGGGGGGGGUUGGAAAGUUUCGGCGGUUGGGGAUGGACUCGCGGCUUAUCAGCUUGUUGGUGGGGUAGUGGCUUACCAAGGCUUUGACGGGUAGCCGGCCUGAGAGGGUGACCGGCCACACUGGGACUGAGACACGGCCCAGACUCCUACGGGAGGCAGCAGUGGGGAAUAUUGCACAAUGGGCGGAAGCCUGAUGCAGCAACGCCGCGUGCGGGAUGACGGCCUUCGGGUUGUAAACCGCUUUCGCCAGGGAAGAAGCGUGAGUGACGGUAAUGGGUAAAGAAGCACCGGCUAACUACGUG
rnacentral:rRNA from 1 species